rnacentral:rRNA from 1 species
AACGUAGGAGGCAAGCGUUAUCCGGAGUUACUGGGCGUAAAGCGCAUGUAGGCGGUUGGGUAAGUGGCGUGUGAAAGCUCCCGGCUAGACUGGGAGAGGACAGGUCAGACUGCCGAACUCGAGUCCGAUAGAGGGGCGUAGAAUUCCGGGUGUAGCGGUGAAAUGUGUAGAGAUCCGGAGGAAUACCAGUGGCGCAAGCGGCGCCCUGGGUCGGUACUGACGCUGAGAUGCGAAAGCGUGGGGAGCGAACGGG